rnacentral:tRNA from 1 species
GGCUCGGUAGCUUAGUUGGUAAAGCGCUCGUCUGGCACACAAGAGUCCUGGGUUCAAAUCCCAGCCGAGCAC